CGUAUAAACAGUAACAUCCAUUUAACAUCUAAUGUUACAGAUCCACAUGGACACAAAAGUUUGUUCAGAUCAUUUUACAGAUGAAUGUUUUUUGAAGACCCUGGUUGGCAUGCGAAAGUUGAAACAAGGUUCUGUUCCAACAUUGUUUGCCUGGACAAAUAGUACCGUGAGGCCUGCAAGGAGGUCUAUCGUCAGAACUACAAGUCAUGCAACCACUGCAGUUGUUGAAGAGGAUGUCCAGCAGGAUGAUGUAAAUUCUAAUGAGUUAAGUGCAGAGGCGGCCCCUCCACACCCUGAUCAUGAAUAUGCUGAACUGCCCCCGCCGCUGGAGGAGCAACUGAAGGAAGCCCACAAGAUCAUCAACAAUCAAGCAGAACUAAUUGCACAUUUUCAAACCCAGCAGUUUCUCCUUCAAAGAUUCCAAGGCGAUGAUAAGAACAUUAUGUUUUACACAGGUUUUCCUGAUUACAACACACUGAAAGCAGUGUUUAUGGCCCUACAGCCUACUGCAGAAAACAUGGUAGGGUGGAGUCAGGCACAGCGAAUACGGAAAGUUGACAGGGAAAUUGUAAGGCAGGGGUUUAGCAUUCCUAAACUGGCCGUCAUUGACCAGUUUUUUCUAUUUCUUUGUCGUCUUAGGCAAGGUUUUCCUGAACAGGACCUUGCAGUGCACUUUGAUGUGUCACAGUCAACUGUAAGCAGGGUCUGUGUAACCUGGGCAAACUACCUACAUUUCAUGUUAGGAUCACUUCCAAUUUGGCCUUCGAGAGAAACCGUAAAUGAGCUCAUGCCUCCUUGUUUCCAAAGCACCU